AUAUCUUUUCCUUUUUUCUUUUUUUUUUUUUUUUUUUUUUUUGUAGAUGCUCAAUGGGCUUGUUGGGUCUAUCCAAAGACAGAACAUUAUAGGAGAAGAAACUAUCUCAAGAAAUUAUAAGCUCCCUGAGGGCAGAGACCACAGACUGGGAAAGUCCUUCUCCUUCCGAGAUGGAGUUUAAGACAGGCGGGCCGGCAGAUGAGGGGGGCAGUGCUCAGGCUCCCUGCAUGCCAUGUCCACACCUUAAUGCUCCGAUCCAGCAUCUGACAGCGUUGCUGGGCUCCUGGGCUUGGAGCACCAUGUUUCUUUUACUUUAACACAAGCAAGAGAGAGAGAAGACAAAAAGAUAGGCAGCUAGGGGAUCUCAAUAGCUGCCCAGCCCAAGCACCAGCAGCCAUUGGAUGGGGAAGACCGACCAGGAGUGAAGCCUGAGAGCGGGUCUGGUUGCUCCCCUCGCUUCAGCUGGGAAGGUUGCUCAGAGGAAAGAAGUGCGGCCCUAGGCUCUGAAGGGUGUCAUCGUCACCAAAGGACAGAGGGCGCCUAUUCCAGCAGCCCCUUUGGGGCUGGCAUUCCUCUUCAGGCCCCAGCACCUAUGGUCAUUUUUCUUCCUGAUUUAUGUUUCCUGUGGAAAGUCUGAAGAAAAACCGUGGAGCAUCUUUUGAGUUUGCCUUUGGAAGGGAGAAAAUAUGCUCCUUCUCUGCUGGGCAAACAUCACAAACAUUGGUGCUUUCACAAUUCAAACACAAGCUGGUUUUCAAAGCCUCCCCGCCUGGCGGCCCCUGGAGCUGUCGCUGUCAGAGGGAGGACGGGCUGCAGCCACCUGGGUUGGGGAGGUUUGCUUUGGGAGCGGAGCUUGGAAUUUGUGAAUUUUCUACUCCAAGCACAUCCAAACGGUGCAGCCACAGCCCCCUUCUGCACAACCUCGUUCAGGCAACCGGGGCUCCAUCUGCCUGGGCUGGGGUGGAGAGCCAAGGGCCUCGGAUGACUCCCUGCCCCCCCCCCCCCAAGCCUGUGGCGGGGCAGGGGGAGGCUUAGCGGGAGGACAAAGAUGAACAAAGAUGCCCUCAGGGACUCUGGUCCUGCUCUCAGGGUGAUGCUGAGCACAGAGGGUGGAGGUGAGAGUGAAGGGGAUACGCUUCUGCAUCCACACAUUUUCUGGCCUCCCAAACACGAAUCAGGGCAGAAGUUGUUCCUAUAAAGCGGAAUUGUGAGAGGCAGCUGCAGACUGUGGGCUGUCUGGCUCUUUCCAUUAGUCUGUAACAAGGGUCUCCUUCCUUCCUCCAACCCUUCCUCCCUCUUUCCUCCCCCUCCUCCUUCCUUCUUUUCCUUCCUUCCUUCCUUCCUUCCUUCCUUCCUUCCUUCCUUCCUUCACAAGAGAAUAAUAUAAUAACUGCCAAG